rnacentral:rRNA from 1 species
GAUCAUGGCUCAGGAUGAACGCUAGCCACGGGCUUAACACAUGCAAGUCGAGGGGCAGCAUGAACUUAGCUUGCUAAGUUUGAUGGCGACCGGCGCACGGGUGAGUAACACGUAUCCAACCUGCCGAUGACUCGGGGAUAGCCUUUCGAAAGAAAGAUUAAUACCCGAUGGCAUAGUUCUUCCGCAUGGUAGAACUAUUAAAGAAUUUCGGUCAUCGAUGGGGAUGCGUUCCAUUAGG